GGAGGCCCUCGCCCCAUGUUCUGCACAGGCUCCUGGGCCCACACGGAGCCAGGACCUUGGGGGGCCCCAAGAUGUCUGCAGCCCCAAGGCUUCCCCAAGCCUUGCAUGUGGAGAACCCCGAGUCUGGGGCACUUAGGGAAACAAGAUCUUGCUGAGUUGCUGAGGCUGGCCACCCACGUGCAUCGUCUUGUUCCGGCCUUCCAAGUCACUGGGAUUACAGCUCCACAGGGCCUGUGGCUUGGGGUGGCUAUGAGAUCCUGCCCUGAGGAGAAGUACUGGGACUCCUUGCUGAACGGCUGCAUGUCCUGCAAGCCAAUCUGCAGCCAGCGGAGACCGAGCACCUGCGCAGCCUUCUGCAAGUCCCUCAGUUGCCUCAAGGAGCAAGGCAAAUAUUACGACCGUCUCCUGAAAGACUGCGUCAGCUGCACCCCCAUCUGUGGUCAGCACCCUAAGCAAUGUGAAUACUUCUGUGAGAACAAACUCCGGAGUCGAGUGAACCUUCCACCCCAGCUCAGGAGGCCGCAGACAGGGGAGACGGAAACCAGGUCAGAUAACUCAGGAAGGUACCAGGGAUUGGAACACAGAGGCUCAGAGGCAGGUCCAGUCCUCGUAGGACCCAAGCUGAGCGCCGACCAGCUGGUCCUGAUCUACAGCACGCUGGGGCUGUGCCUCUGCACCAUACUCUGCUGCUUCCUGGUGGCCGUUGCCUGCUUCCUCAAGAGGAGGGGAGGUCGGCUCUCCAGCCAGCCCACGGCAGGGCGGUGCAGAACCCGGAACAAGUCCUCCCACGACCCCGCGAUGGAGGCUGGCAGCUGUGCGGACGCGCCGCCCGAGCCGGUGGAGACGUGCAGCUUUUGCUUCCCGGAGCGCAGGGCGCCCACCCAGGAGAGCGCAGGCGCGCUGCAGGCUCCGGAUGCUGCGGGCCAGGACAGCCGGGUGCACCACGCGGGAACGGCCGCCCCGCAGCCCUGCGCGCACGCCACCACCAACGGCUGUUUUGGUGUCGUGUGCGCGCCCGCCCUGGACGGGGUCCCCGGUGAAUGAAAGCUGGGUGACCAGGACGCAGGGAGACGAGGAGGGAGAUAAGAGGAAGAAAUGAAGAGACUAUGGAGGGAGUGAGCGACCGGCAGGGAAUGGGGCAGAGAGAGAGAGAAAUCGAGAGGAGGAGGACAGACAGAGGAAAGAGGAGAGGGGACAGGUGCCAGAACUCGGACAUGGACAUCCUUUAUCCCCCGUUCCGUGCAAACCAUGAGGGUCUGGGGGCCUCAGCGGGGAAUCGCUAGUUCAGGACCGAGCAGAGCCCCAGCGAGAACUCCCAUCUCCUGAGAAGUAUCGUGCUCUCCACGGCAUUGACUGCUUCCUGAGGGCGACAGGAUGGGGGGUGCCUAGAACACAGUUCAACUAGUCUGGCAGUCCUUGAACUGUAGGAAGUGAUCUGACCUGCACCCCCAUUGGCCUGACGUGGCUGAGGGUGGAGUCUGUGAAGGUUCAGUGUGGUCUUUCAUCUCCCCAGCCUCUUGGGCCUCAGCACUCACCAGGACCUCUGCGGCCCCAGGACUUUUGCUUAUGCUGUCCUGUGUGGAACUACCAACCCCCCCACCAGCUCAACUGUCACUUCCUUGGCUGGGAUCCCAAAGCACUAAAUGUCAGGAAUCAGCAAGUGGGCUGCAGCACCCAUCAUCCUUGUGAUGGACAGACCUCUCAACAUAGGCAGAUACUAUGAAGAUGUCUAUAUUCAUGCUCCAUUUGUCCUCUUCGGUGGGAGCACAGAGAAUUCCCACAAGGGACACUUAAAUGGCAUGCCUAUGCAUGUGGCCUACUUCUCUUAGCCCUUCACUUGCUCAGGGGGCCUGUGAACAUGGCCACUGCACAGCAAUAAGGCCCAACAGGAUCGACAUCAUACGCCCUCCCUCACCAAGGCCCACCAGGUGGCAUUCCCAAAGCUCCUCAUCUGCCCCAGACAGACUCUGGCCAAUUCUGGGCCCAGCGUCAUUUCCCAGGAAGGCUCAACCAGGUCUCUUUCAACAUGAAAGGGCUGUUUGCCUUCACUAGAGGACAGCCAUGUCUAGGUACAAAUUCGCCUGCCCUGCCCAUUGGUAUCUCCACCCUGUCUCAGUGACUGCUCUGGUCAAAGCCCGAUCCACAGCAGAGGACCUGCAGGAACAGGCACUCAUCUGUGGGACUUACCUGCUCUAACACACCACCUGGAAGUCGCUGGGUUUAUGGAGAACUUGGUAAUGGUGAAGGGAUGGGGCUGUGACAGGGGAAAUACGGUGCUUUAACUAUUAUAUGACCCACCCCAAGCCCCCGACACAGCCAGCCAGCACACAGGUCUGAGAAUCAAGGUGUGAAUGUGGAACUGUCUCUUAAUACACCCAGGUGGGCUGGCGGUGUGGCUCAGUGGUAGAAUGCUGGCUUUUCAUGCACAGGGUCUCGGGUUUCAUCCCCAGCACUGCAAAAAAAAGAAAAAGAAAAAAAAAAAAAAUCUGAGCAGACACAAAGCCAUGGCUGUAUUUCUCCUCUGCUUACAUCCGCAGCUUUCUCAUCAUUGGGAAGCUUGCUGCCAAUGCACCUCCUGUGCCACAGCCAGGCCAGCUGAUCCCACCCGGGCACGAUUCCUGCCCCUGAGGGUCCCCAGGUGACUCUCAUGCACGCCAGUCUGAAGGCAUGGGGCUGUCCUGAACCCUCCACGUCCUCUUCCUGUCCACACAAGGAGAAACGAGGUCAAACAGCAGUGGGCCAAGGAAGGGUGCACAGGGCUUCCCAGGCCUAGCACGACUACGGGGCCAGGCCACUUCUCCAGCUGCUGCUCGCACUCGAGGCUCACACUUCCGGCCACCCUGUAUCAGCAAGGAAAGAACGGGCCAGACUGCAGAAUAAAACGUAGCUUUAUUAUGACAUAGGAAAGACUACAAGCCAUCAGGGAGCAGAGCGCCAAACAGCCCCUCAAAACGACAGGGAAAGGGCAGGUGUAAACAUCUUGGUAAUAAAAUCUCCAACCACAGCACAAUCAUUGGAAUUUUUUCUUACAAUUUUUGUUUUUAAAGUUAUAGUAAAUGAAACGAGUCACUUUGAAUUGUCAAAAGAACUGCGAUUUUACACAAGUGAAAGCAUACACACCAAGCCAAAACACAAGAGCACUCGGGUAUGUCUCAGGGAUGCUGCUAACAGGGACACGCAGGGGCCAUCCUGGGGUCCAGGGGAGCAGAGCCCGGGCCCGGCCCCCGGCUGCUGCCUGGCUGAGGAGUCCCAGGCACAGGGACGCUGUCCACACCACCCUCAGGCCACCCAGGCCCCCAGCACUCCACACAGCUCAAAGACAUUGCCUCCAGAUUUCUGAAGAGGGCGAGUCCAGCUGUCUCACCAUGAAGCACUAAAUGACAGCUAGCAUCUCAGAGGUGCAGACUCUUCCUAGCACACGGGUCAUGAACGUGCAUCGGGUUGUCACCCAACGAGUCCCGCCACG